rnacentral:rRNA from 1 species
GACAGAGGAUGCAAGCGUUAUCCGGAAUGAUUGGCGUAAAGCGUCUGUAGGUGGCUUUUAAGUCCGCCGUCAAAUCCCAGGCUCAACCCUGGACAGGCGGUGGAAACUACCAAGCUGGAGUACGGUAGGGCAGAGGGAAUUUCCGGUGGAGCGGUGAAAUGCGUAGAGAUCGGAAAGAACACCAACGGCGAAAGCACUCUGCUGGGCCGACACUGACACUGAGAGACGAAAGCUAGGGAGCGAA